GAUGAAGAACGUAGCGAAAUGCGAUAAGUAGUGUGAAUUGCAGAAUUCAGUGAAUCAUCGAAUCUUUGAACGCACAUUGCGCCCCCUGGUAUUCCGGGGGGCAUGCCUGUUCGAGCGUCAUUUCAACCCUCAAGCUCUGCUUGGUAUUGGGCGUCGCCGGGGAGUCUCCCCGGCGUGCCUCAAAGCCAUCGGCGGUGGUGCCUUUCUCUAAGCGUGGUAGAAUUUUUAUUCGCUUCUGAGUUGGGCUUCGCCUGCCGGACAAACCGGGCCCUCGCGGCCCACCUUCUCAGGUUGACCUCGGAUCAGGUAGGGAUACCCGCUGAACUUAAGCAUAUCAAUAAGCGGAGGA
rnacentral:misc_RNA from 1 species